UACGUAGGUGGCAAGCGUUGUCCGGAUUUAUUGGGUUUAAAGGGUGCGUAGGCGGUUUUAUAAGUCAGUGGUGAAAUACGGCAGCUUAACUGUCGAGGUGCCAUUGAUACUGUAAGACUUGAGUACUGAUGAGGUAGGCGGAAUUGACGGUGUAGCGGUGAAAUGCUUAGAUAUCGUCAAGAACACCGAUAGCGAAGGCAGCUUACUAAGGAGUAACUGACGCUGAUGCACGAAAGUGUGGGGAUCAAACAGG
rnacentral:rRNA from 1 species